ACUGUUCUGAUGAUAUUUUACAUUUCUGACACCUCAUAUGAACCACAAUGAUUCACUUUAUUUGUAAUUAAAUACUGAAAUU